UACGUAGGGUGCAAGCGUUGUCCGGAAUUAUUGGGCGUAAAGGGCGCGUAGGCGGCUCAUGAAGGCUGUGGUGAAAGUCCGGGGCUCAACCUCGGAUCGGCCGUGGCGACUCGUGGGCUGGAGCACUGUAGAGGCGGGUGGAAUUCCGGGUGUAGCGGUGGAAUGCGUAGAGAUCCGGAAGAACACCAGUGGCGAAGGCGGCCCGCUGGGCAGUGGCUGACGCUGAGGCGCGACAGCGUGGGGAGCAAACAGG
rnacentral:rRNA from 1 species